rnacentral:rRNA from 1 species
CACGUAGUUAGCCGGUGCUUAUUCUUCAGGUACCGUCAUUAGCCCAGGAUAUUAGCCCGGACCGUUUCUUCCCUGACAAAAGAGCUUUACAACCCGAAGGCCUUCUUCACUCACGCGGCAUUGCUGGAUCAGGCUUGCGCCCAUUGUCCAAAAUUCCCCACUGCUGCCUCCCGUAGGAGUCUGGGCCGUGUCUCAGUCCCAGUGUGGCUGGUCGUCCUCUCAGACCAGCUACUGAUCGUCGCCUUGGUGAGCCUUUACCUCACCAACUAGCUAAUCAGACAUCGGCCGCUCCAAAAGCAUGAGGUCCGAAGAUCCCCCACUUUCUUCCGUAGAACGUAUGCGGUAUUAGCGUAACUUUCGCUACGUUAUCCCCCACUUCUGGGUACGUUCCGAUGUAUUACUCACCCGUUCGCCACUCGCCGCCAGGUUGCCCCGCGCUGCCGUUCGACUUGCAUGUGUAAAGCAUGCCGCCAGCGUUCAAUCUGAGCCAGGAUCAAACUCU